rnacentral:rRNA from 1 species
UCUCCCAGGAGCAUGUCUGUCUGAGUGUCGGU